CUGGAGUUGUGCUAAUAAUAGAAUUUGUGAUCGGCUUUGUCAAAAACCCUAACCUCUUGUCGCGGUUGCUUUAACGCUGUCAUCUAGGGUUUUCUACGUGAUUCAACUACGUUGUUCUUGAUAUGGUGCAAGUUUGUGUCAUACUCAUGAUAUCCUUGAUCCGAGGACUGUUUAUUAGAUUCUAACGAGGCCAUUUAGAUCAAUAUGCCAAUAGAUGAUUUGAUAGUGAGUUGAACAUACAUAAAAACUAUUAGUACAUAUUAGCAGCUCCAAAACCACUAAUAAAACUAAUUAAGAACAGUUAUCAACCUAGCUAAUAAUUAGUGGUCUUAUUGGCGGAUCUAUUUAGAUCCACUAGUAUUAAUUAAGUUUAGCUACUAAUCUUUAGUGCUAAUGGAUUCACACAUACCCUUGUAUAUAUAUACAUAAAAAUAAAUGCAUCUAGCUAAAUCUAACUGCAGGCAUAUGUAUUGUACGUAUAUUAAUUCCUUGCAAGUCGCUAGCAAGCUCUUUAGAGCAAGUAUUAUAGCAGGUUGUAAGCCAACUAAAUGCUGAGGUGGAGGAGAGAGAAGAGGAAAGAGAGUAAAAGCAGGCUGUAAGCCAAGAAAGUCUCUGAGACAAACAAGUGGGUCAUGUAUUAAUAGUGAUGAGCUAUAACCAUUAUAUAAGUGGGCGGUAAGAAAACUAUAAAAAAAAGGGCGGUAAGAAAACUAUAAAAAAAAUUUACAGCCACGAGCUAGCUGUAUUAUAAUACUUCCUCUUACACACACAAUCCCCGUUCCACUGCAUGUAUCGGUCCUUGAUUCCAUGAUUCCUAGCUACCUAGUUAGAGCUAGCCUAGCUAUAGGUACUAUGCACCUCCAAACCUUCACAAAAUAUUGCGAUCAUCACAGAAUUUUUUUAGAAAAUACAAGAACAUGUGCAAGUCUAGCUAGCUAGGAUCUGGGGUCGUUCAAUCUCUAUAAUUUUGUUUUGAGCAUUUUUUUCCUCACAGAACCAAAUAUAUAGCGCGAAAGCAUACAUGAGAGAGAUAUUUUCAAACACUGCUAGUAGACAUAUAUAUAGUUAUGAAUUGAUUGUUCAGUUAGCUAGACCUUUUCUCUAUGGACCGGCCGACACGCACACAUGAACACUACGUAUGUGAUCCGUGCAGAUCGAGUCGGUACUCAGCAGGAUCUGGUCAUCUGGAAGAAAGCUGCAUGCACCGUACCUCGCAGGACAUGCAUGUCAAACAAAAUGUUUCCUCACUUCCCUUCACAUGAGAAAUAAUUAAUUACACAGUUUAUUUAUAAUUUACGAGACGAAUCUUUUAAAACUAGUUAGUCCAUAAUUGAACAAUAUUUGUUAAAAAUACAAACGAAAGUGUUACAAUAUUUAUUUUAACCAAACAAGACGUAAGCCUUGUUUAGUUCAUCUAAGAACCAAAAACUUUUUAAGAUUUUCCGUCACAUCAAAUUUUGCGGCAC
rnacentral:lncRNA from 1 species